UGCCGGCGACCGGCGACGGGUGCGUAACGCGUAUGUAACCUACCUUUGACAGGGGGAUAACAUCGAGAAAUUGGUACUAAUACCCCAUAACAUCACCGGAGGCAUCUUCGGUGGUUGAAAACUCAGGUGGUCAGAGAUGGACAUGCGUUGUAUUAGCUAGUUGGUGAGGUAACGGCUCACCAAGGCGACGAUACAUAGGGGGACUGAGAGGUCCAACCCCCCACAUUGGUACUGAGACACGGACCAAACUCCUACGGAAGGCAGCAG
rnacentral:rRNA from 1 species